rnacentral:rRNA from 1 species
GAUGAACGCUGGCGGCGUGCCUAACACAUGCAAGUCGAGCGAACAGACGAGGAGCUUGCUUCUCUGACGUUAGCGGCGGACGGGUGAGUAACACGUGUAUAACCUACCUAUAAGACUGGGAUCAUUUCGGGAAACCGGAGCUAAUACCGGAUAAUAUAUUGAACCGCAUGGUUCAUUAGUGAAAGACGGUUUUGCUGUCACUAAUAGAUGGUUCCGAGCUGCAUUAGCUAGUUGGUAGGGUAACGGCUUACCAAGGCAACGAUGCGUAGCCGACCUGAGAGGGUGAUCGGCCACACUGGAACUGAGACACGGUCCAGACUCCUACGGGAGGCAGCAGUAGGGAAUCUUCCGCAAUGGGCGAAAGCCUGACGGAGCAACGCCGCGUGAGUGAUGAAGGUCUUCGGAUCGUAAAGCUCUGUUAUUAGGGAAGAACAAAUGUGUAAGUAACUAUGCACGUCUUGACGGUACCUAAUCAGAAAGCCACGGCUAACUACGUG